ACUCCUACGGGAGGCAGCAGACGAAGAAGGUCUUCGGAUUGUAAAGCACUUUAAGUUGGGAGGAAGGGCAGUAAGUUAAUACCUUGCUGUUUUGACGUUACCGACAGAAUAAGCACCGGCUAACUCUGUGCCAGCAGCCGCGGUAAUACAGAGGGUGCAAGCGUUAAUCGGAAUUACUGGGCGUAAGCCAGCAGCCGCGGUA
rnacentral:rRNA from 1 species